rnacentral:lncRNA from 1 species
UAGAAAAUAAAAAUACAUAUAAAAUGAGGAAAUGCUUAGUUUAACUUAAUAUGUAAUAUAUAUGUAUUUUUAUUAUUCGAUUUCGUUCUAUUUUAGUGAUAACGUUCAGUGACAACAGCCUUUCCAUUUUUGUGAAAAAGAAAUGGAAUCCCUUAAAUAUUGAAAUAUUUAAUAUAGAAUAUCCAAAACAUAGAAUAUCCCUAUGAAUCUAUUCACUUUUUUUAUUUGUGAUUUCGCAGUUAUUUAAUUAUGAAAGUUGGCUGGGUAGCUAACCCUGUUAGUCCGUUCUUGCAAGAAGGGGCCUAAUCUUUCUGUUUUUUAAGUAAGAUUUCCUCCGCUUAAUGGAUAACCAUUUGCUACCAAUGGAGAAUUGCUUCUCAUUUUAAAUUGAGGUGAUUGGAUUUGCACCAAUGGAAACCAUAAAUUUCAUACACAAACGAAUGGAUAGAUUUUCUUUUCUUUUUUAGAUACUGAAUUGAAUACGAGUUUUUUUGAAAUAAAAAGGAGCAAUAACCUCUUUCUUGUUCUAUCAAGAGGGCGGUAUUGCUCCUUUUUUUAUUUAGUAGUAUUUGACUUACCUAGUUUCUUUAAAUAAAUUUAAAAAAACGUCGUUUUAUUUUUAUCGGUUGGCUCAUGAGUGAGUAUCAUGCUUUCGUUCUGUAUUAAUCAUUAAUCUAGAAUUUAGCUACUUCUUCCCAAUCUUUAUCUUUUGGGAAGUGUUUUUUAAAAAGAAAAGAUAAAAAUGUUGGACUUUUUACUUAGUUAAUACUUAAUAUUUUUAUCUCGAAAAUAAGAAAGAUAAGAAAGAAAUAAUGAUGAAUGGUAAAAAUUUAAUCUUUUGAAACGUAAGGAAAAGAAUAGUAGGGGGGCGGAUGUAGCCAAGUGGAUCAAG